rnacentral:rRNA from 1 species
ACGUAGGGAGCAAGCGUUGUCCGGAAUUACUGGGCGUAAAGGGCGCGUAGGCGGUUAGUCAAGUCAGCUGUGAAAUUCCCCGGCUCAACUUUGGGAGUGCACUCUAAACUGGCUGACUUGAGUACAGUAGAGGUAACUGGAAUUCCUGGUGUAGCGGUGAAAUGCGUAGAUAUCAGGAGGAACACCGAUGGCGAAGGCAGGUUACUGGGCUGUUCCUGACGCUGAGGAGCGAAAGCGUGGGUAGCGAACAG